CCUACGGGAGGCAGCAGUGAGGAAUAUUGGUCAAUGGACGCGAGCCUGAACCAGCCAAGUAGCGUGAAGGAUGACUGCCCUAUGGGUUGUAAACUUCUUUUAUAUGGGAAUAAAAUGAGCCACGUGUGGGUUUUUGUAUGUACCUUAUGAAUAAGGAUCGGCUAACUCCGUGCCAGCAGCCGCGGUAAUACGGAGGAUCCGAGCGUUAUCCGGAUUUAUUGGGUUUAAAGGGAGCGUAGAUGGAUUGUUAAGUCAGUUGUGAAAGUUUGCGGCUCAACCGUAAAAUUGCAAUUGAUACUGGCAGUCUUGAGUACAGUAGAGGUAGGCGGAAUUCGGGGUGUAGCGGUGAAAUGCUUAGAUAUCACGAAGAACUCCGAUUGCGAAGGCAGCUCACUAGACUGUAACUGACAUUGAGGCUCGAAAGUGUGGGUAUCAAACAGGAUUAGAUACCCGGGUAGUC
rnacentral:rRNA from 1 species